rnacentral:rRNA from 1 species
GUAGGUGGCAAGCGUUGUCCGGAAUUAUUGGGCGUAAAGCGCGCGCAGGCGGUUCUUUAAGUCUGAUGUGAAAGCCCACGGCUCAACCGUGGAGGGUCAUUGGAAACUGGAGAACUUGAGUACGGAAGAGGAAAGCGGAAUUCCACGUGUAGCGGUGAAAUGCGUAGAGAUGUGGAGGAACACCAGUGGCGAAGGCGGCUUUCUGGUCUGUAACUGACGUUGAGGCGCGAAAGCGUGGGGAGCAAACAGGGAUUAGAUACCCUGGUAGUCCACGCCGUAAACGAUGAGUGCUAAGUGUUAGGGGGUUUCCCGCCCCUUAGUGCUGCAGCUAACGCAUUAAGCACUCCGCCUGGGGAUACGGCCGCAAGGCUG